GUCCGUACCUUAUAAUCUCCACUUUUAAGGUCUUCCAGAAGCAGCCCUUCUCCAUCGGCGUGAAAGAAAUGAACCAGCGUCUAUGAUGAUGUCAUGUUCCUCUUGACCCAUAUCAAAGACCUGAGGAAGACAGUAGAAGUUAUGAACAUGAAGAGAGAGAAAACUGUCACAUGUGAGUGAGGCGUUCACAGCCUACACCUCAAAAAAGAAGUGCUGCUGUCUUUCACCUGUGUCAGGAAUCUCUGCGCACACGUCUGCUCAAGCCCCCAUUAGGAACAGCACAGAUUUGAACUGUCAAUCAAACACUAAAGAAAAGUCUGUGCUUUCACAUUCAAUUAAGCCUGUGGGACCAGCUGUUGUAGGAGAGUUUAAUUCUCUAUGUGACAAGAAACAUUUAAUAUAGAAUUUAAUAUAAAUUUAAGUAAUGUAGUUUGUUAUAAUAUGACAUUAUGUAAGCUUAUAGGAUGACAGCAAUAUAUCGAAAUGUUCUACCUUACUGCAUCUUCAAAUUUAUUUGAACCAGACGCAGAUUAAAAGAUGCAUUUAUGUUUUUUUAUUUUUAUAAACGAACCUCACUUCAUCUAACUAUGGGUUAAGUUGUGCAUUUCAUUUUCUAGCCAUUUUACAAAUAAGAUUAUUUUGUUGUACUGACAGUAGUUUUUAAAUACAUAUACAGCACUCCAUUAUCAUAUAUAAUUUGUUUCUUGAAUCGUCAACCGUGUCUUGUGCUGU